rnacentral:rRNA from 1 species
GACGAACGCUGGCGGCGUGCUUAACACAUGCAAGUCGAACGAUGAAGCUGGAGCUUGCUCCGGUGGAUUAGUGGCGAACGGGUGAGUAACACGUGAGCAAUCUGCCCUUGACUCUGGGAUAACUGCGGGAAACUGUAGCUAAUACCGGAUACUUUCACUGGAAGGCAUCUUCUGGUGAAGAAAGAAUUUCGGUCAAGGAUGAGCUCGCGGCCUAUCAGCUUGUUGGUGAGGUAACGGCUCACCAAGGCGACGACGGGUAGCCGGCCUGAGAGGGUGACCGGCCACACUGGGACUGAGACACGGCCCAGACUCCUACGGGAGGCAGCAGUGGGGAAUAUUGCACAAUGGGCGCAAGCCUGAUGCAGCGACGCCGCGUGAAGGAUGAAGGCCUUCGGGUUGUAAACCUCUUUUAGCAGGGAAGAAGCGAAAGUGACGGUACCUGCAGAAAAAGCACCGGCUAACUACGUGCCAGCCGCCGCAGUAA